rnacentral:tRNA from 1 species
GGGUUUCUAUAGUUAAGAGUUGGUUAACGGCGGCUUUUCGGGCCGCAAACCUUGGAUAGAGUCCAAGUAGAAAC